AGUGAACGCUGGCGGUAGGCCUAACACAUGCAAGUCGAACGGCAGCACAGUAAGAGCUUGCUCUUACGGGUGGCGAGUGGCGGACGGGUGAGGAAUACAUCGGAAUCUACUUUUUCGUGGGGGAUAACGUAGGGAAACUUACGCUAAUACCGCAUACGACCUACGGGUGAAAGCAGGGGAUCUUCGGACCUUGCGCGAUUGAAUGAGCCGAUGUCGGAUUAGCUAGUUGGCGGGGUAAAGGCCCACCAAGGCGACGAUCCGUAGCUGGUCUGAGGGGAUGGUCAGCCACACUGGAACUGAGACACGGUCCAGACUCCUACGGGAGGCAGCAGUGGGGAAUAUUGGACAAUGGGCGCAAGCCUGAUCCAGCCAUACCGCGUGGGUGAAGAAGGCCUUCGGGUUGUAAAGCCCUUUUGUUGGGAAAGAAAAGCAGCAGGUUAAUACCCCGCUGUUCUGACGGUACCCAAAGAAUAAGCACCGGCUAACUUCGUG
rnacentral:rRNA from 1 species